UACGUAGGGUGCAAGCGUUAAUCGGAAUUACUGGGCGUAAAGCGUGCGCAGGCGGUUAUGCAAGACAGAUGUGAAAUCCCCGGGCUUAACCUGGGAACUGCAUUUGUGACUGCAUAGCUAGAGUACGGCAGAGGGGGAUGGAAUUCCGCGUGUAGCAGUGAAAUGCGUAGAUAUGCGGAGGAACACCGAUGGCGAAGGCAAUCCCCUGGGCCUGUACUGACGCUCAUGCACGAAAGCGUGGGGAGCAAACAGG
rnacentral:rRNA from 1 species